GAUCAUGGCUCAGGAUGAACGCUGGCGGCGUGCUUAACACAUGCAAGUCGAACGAAGCACUUAAGAUUGACUCUUCGGAUGAUUUCUUUUGUGACUUAGUGGCGGACGGGUGAGUAACGCGUGGGUAACCUGCCUCACACAGGGGGAUAACAGUUAGAAAUGACUGCUAAUACCGCAUAACCCGAUAGGAUCGCAUGAUCCAGACGGAAAAAGAUUUAUCGGUGUGAGAUGGACCCG
rnacentral:rRNA from 1 species